rnacentral:tRNA from 1 species
UCCCUGGCGGUCUAGUGGUUAGGACUCCAUGCUUCUACUGCAGGGGGGCCCAGGUUCAAUCCCUGGCUGGGGAA